rnacentral:rRNA from 1 species
UACGUAGGGGGCAAGCGUUGUCCGGAAUCAUUGGGCGUAAAGAGCGUGUAGGCGGCCAGGUAGGUCUGCUGUGAAAACUCGAGGCUCAACCUCGAGACGUCGGCGGAAACCAUCUGGCUAGAGUCCGGAAGAGGAGAGUGGAAUUCCGUGGUGUAGCGGUGAAAUGCGCAGAUAUCAGGAAGAACACCCGUGGCGAAGGCGGCUCUCUGGGACGGUACUGACGCUGAGACGCGAAAGCGUGGGGAGCGAACAGG